rnacentral:rRNA from 1 species
UGGGGAAUUUUUCGCAAUGGGCGCAAGCCUGACGAAGCAACGCCGCGUGGAGGAUGAAGGUCUUCGGAUUGUAAACUCCUGUCGACCGGGACGAAUGCACUCGACCUAAUACGUCGAGUUGUUGACGGUACCGGUGGAGGAAGCCACGGCUAACUCUGUGCCAGCAGCCGCGGUAAUACAGAGGUGGCAAGCGUUGUUCGGAAUUACUGGGCGUAAAGGGCGCGUAGGCGGCCUUGUAAGUCUCGUGUGAAAGCCCUCGGCUUAACUGAGGAUCUGCACGGGAUACUGCGAGGCUAGAGUUCGGGAGAGGAAAGCGGAAUUCCGGGUGUAGCGGUGAAAUGCGUAGAUAUCCGGAGGAACACCAGGGGCGAAGGCGGCUUUCUGGACCGACACUGACGCUGAGGCGCGAAAGCUAGGGGAGCAAACGUGAUUAGAUACCCGUGUAGUCCCUGAGCGGGCUGGCAAGGCGCAU